rnacentral:rRNA from 1 species
ACGGGUGCGUAACGCGUGGGAAUCUGCCCUUGGGUACGGAAUAACUCAGAGAAAUUUGUGCUAAUACCGUAUAAUGUCUUCGGACCAAAGAUUUAUCGCCCAAGGAUGAGCCCGCGUAAGAUUAGCUAGUUGGUGGGGUAAAAGCCUACCAAGGCGACGAUCUUUAGCUGGUCUGAGAGGAUGAUCAGCCACACUGGGACUGAGACACGGCCCAGACUCCUACGGGAGGCAGCAGUGGGGAAUAUUGGACAAUGGGCGAAAGCCUGAUCCAGCAAUGCCGCGUGAGUGAUGAAGGCCUUAGGGUUGUAAAGCUCUUUUACCAGGGAUGAUAAUGACAGUACCUGGAGAAUAAGCUCCGGCUAACUCCGUGCCAGCAGCCGCGGUAAUACGGAGGGAGCUAGCGUUGUUCGGAAUUACUGGGCGUAAAGCGCGCGUAGGCGGUUUUUUAAGUCAGAGGUGAAAGCCCAGUGCUCAACACUGGAACUGCCUUUGAAACUGGAAAACUUGAAUCUUGGAGAGGUCAGUGGAAUUCCGAGUGUAGAGGUGAAAUUCGUAGA